UACGGGGGGGGCAAGCGUUGUUCGGAAUUACUGGGCGUAAAGGGUUCGUAGGUGGCCAACUAAGUCAUACGUGAAAUCCCUCAGCUUAACUGGGGAACUGCGUCUGAUACUGGUUGGCUUGAGUGCAGGAGAGGAACGCGGAAUUCCAGGUGUAGCGGUGGAAUGCGUAGAGAUCCGGAAGAACACCGGAGGCGAAGGCGGCUUGCUGGGCUUGGUCUGACGCUGAGGCGCGAAAGCGUGGGGAGCGAACAGG
rnacentral:rRNA from 1 species